UAGUUUGUCUGUUGUAAAUCCUGCCCACUUGUUUGCAUUGUGACACAUGCUUCAGUGCUCUGAGAGUGUUUAUAGUGCUGUGAGUUUAACACUUCAUGACUGAGAGCAGAACAGAACACAAUCUUCAUCAUCACACAAGACAAAAGAACAACAAUGAACACAAUCACCUUCUUCAUCUGGACUCUCACACUGUUUAUUCAAGAGUGUAGAGGACAGAUCACUGUAACUCAGAGUCCAUCAAUAACAGCUGUUCAACCAGGACAAGAAGUCAGAAUAAACUGUAAAACCAGCAGUGCAGUGCAUGGUGGUGUUUAUUUAGCCUGGUACUUACAGAAAUCUGGAGAAGCUCCUAAACUCCUCAUAUACGAUGCAACGAGCCGUUAUACUGGAACUCCAUCUAGAUUCAGUGGCAGUGGAUCUGGCAGUGAUUUCACUCUGACCAUCAGUGGAGUCCAGACUGAAGAUACAGGAGAUUAUUACUGUCAGAGUUUACACUAUCCAAACAGUCAAUGGGUGUUCACACAGUGAUAAAGAGUGGUACAAAAACCUUGUUCAG